CUGUGGACCUGGGAUUGUAAACACGAACAAGACGAUCCAGGACCGUGUCGGCAAGCUCCAGAGAGUCUAUGACGCCACACUGGACAAGAUCCACCCCAUCAUCACCAAGGUUGAAUUCGACCCCUCCUCCAUGAACGCCCAGAUGCAGCUUGCUAAUGUCCACAUCACUGUCCGCCUGAACGGACGCGACCAGAGCUACAAGACGACUGUGCCCUACAGCAUGAUGAACCUGCCAACCACAGCCCACAACAUGGCCAUGGAGUUCUGGGGAAAGUCACAAUAAAUGAACUAGUAUUAGCCCUAGUGUGUGGACUGUUUAGCACAUAAUAAAGGAAUAAACAAUCAA